GAUGAAGAACGCAGCGAAAUGCGAUAAGUAAUGUGAAUUGCAGAAUUCAGUGAAUCAUCGAAUGUUUGAACGCACAUUGCGCCCGCCAGUAUUCUGGCGGGCAUGCCUGUUCGAGCGUCAUUUCAACCAUCAAGCCCCCGGGCUUGUGUUGGGGACCUGCGGCUGCCGCAGGCCCUGAAAAGCAGUGGCGGGCUCGCUGUCACACCGAGCGUAGUAGAUUUUAUCUCGCUCUGGGCGUGCUGCGGGUUCCGGCCGUUAAACCACCCUUUUAACCCAAGGUUGACCUCGGAUCAGGUAGGAAGACCCGCUGAACUUAAGCAUAUCAAUAAGCGGGGA
rnacentral:misc_RNA from 1 species